CAUUUCCACACUGUAGGGCCCCAAGGGAUCCAUCACCCUGAAGACCAGGAGGGGCUUGCUGCCUCUAGAAGUUGCUGCAGCUGUGAGAUGACCUGCAGAAUCUUCAUUGCCUUCUUAGGAGGAUCCUGCAUCGAUUGCACCCGACCAUCAAGGAAUUGUUCCUGCUGAUGUUGCGAAGGUAGGGAGGAAGGCGGUAUCCAGGGGACAGCUGGGAACCCAGGUGAAAGGAACACCCAGAGAGCAGCAUCUUGAUACAAUGAAAAGAGCAGCAGCAUUAACAUCAGACAGGUCUGGAGCCCAGUUUCUGCAGAGGGGACUACUCUUCUGAAUCUGGUUUUUACCAUCCCAGGUAAGUUUGCAUGCUCUUAUCCAUGUCUAUAUCCACAGACUACCUAUAUACUUUGCUCACCUCAUAAAUGGC